CUUAAAGCUGUAUCAGAAAUGUUGCUAGAAAGUGAACAUAGGUGGUGUUCCAGACAUAUAUUAGCAAACAGGUCCGAAGAUUGGAGAGGGAUAGAGAUGAGAAACAACUUCUGGAGGUGUGCUAGAGCAUCAUGUGUGGCAGAACUGAAUUUUCACCUGGACAGUUUGAAUAAGCUUGGGAAUGGGAUAUGUGAGAGCCUCUUGAAGUAUAACAAGGAAUCCUGGUGCAAAGCAUACUUGACAACAAUAUGUGUGAGACAUUUAAUGCUUGGAUGAUGGGAUAUGUAAGAGCCUCUUGAAGUACAACGAGGAAGCCUGGUGCAGAUCAUACUUCAACUGUGAUAGGAAAUGUGAUAUAAUUGACAACAAUAUGUAUGAGACAUUUAAUGCUUGGAUACUUGCUGCUCGGCACAAGACAAUUAUCACAAUGUUGGAGGAAAUUAGAGUGAAGAUGAUGGAGAGAAUAGGAAAGUUGAGGGAGUUUGCAGAUACUUGACACAAUGUUGGAGAAAAUUAGAGUGAAGAUGAUGGAGAGAAUAGGAAAGUUGAUGGAGUUUGCAGAUACUUGGAUAUGUGAUAUAUCCCCAAUUGAUAUGAAAGUGUAUCAAGAUAACAUGGCCCAAUCUAUGAGGUGUACAAUCAAGUGGAAUGGUGAAUAUGUCUAUGAGGUUGAGGAUACCUCAUUAAUAGUUGUGUUGAAGCAUUGUGUGAAUAUGCAAGCUCAAACUUGUACAUGCAGGUCAUGGAUGCUAAAGGGUAUCCCUUGUGCUCAUGCCAUU
rnacentral:lncRNA from 1 species